GACGAACGCUGGCGGCGUGCUUAACACAUGCAAGUCGAACGGAAAGGCCCUGCUUUUGUGGGUUUCUCGAUUGGCGAACGGGUGAGUAACACGUGAGUAUCCUGCACUUGACUGUGUGAUAACUCCACGGGACUGGGGCUAAUACCGGAUAUGAUCUCUUGCUCCAUGUUGGGGGUUGGAAAGUUUCGGCUUUUGUGGAUGGACUCGCUGCUUAUCAGCUUGUUGGUGGGGUAGUUGCUUACCAAGGGUUUGACGGGUAGCCGGCCUGAGAGGGUUAACGGCCACAUGGGGCCUGCGAUACGCCGCAGAAGCCUACGGUAGGCAACAGUGGAGAAUAUUGCACAAUGGGCCGAAGCCUGAUGCAGCAACGCCGGGUGCGGGAUGACGGGUUUCGGGUGGAAAACAGCUUUGGAAUGUGCCAAAGCGUGAUUGACGGUAAUGGGUCAAGAAGCCACGGCUAACUACGUG
rnacentral:rRNA from 1 species